UCUUUAUGAAUGACAAGAUGAUUUUUCUUUUUGAGAAAAAAAAAUAACAUGCUGUCCAUUUCAUUUAUUUUGAAAAUUAACUUAGCUACAAAAAAUAAAACUCUCGGUGUAGGCAACUCUCAGCCUAUUACUUUACUGACUCCUUACAAAUUCUAGUAGUUUUUAUUGGAUCUAAGCUCAAAUUUCUGAAAAUAAUAAUAUUUUUAUGUCUCCAGAGCACCUACCAGAUUGCUGUCAGGAAGUACUGCUCCUUCACAGUCGCUUGACUGUUCCCUCUUUCCAUCUCCUUCUCUCAAAGAGCUCUAACAUUAUUGUCACUACUAUGUUUAAUCUGAUAAUAAUCCUUUUUUAUUGCCACUCUAACCUGGAAAUAAUUUGUUUACUGAUAUCCGGAGACUAAUGUUUUUGUUACCACUAUAUAUGUUUAAUAUGAUUUUUUCAAAAGAUUCUUGUUAUGAUUGCUUAUAUCCACCAAUUGAUGACUCAGUACAGUCAAAUUGCAUCUAGUAUACUGUAUGCCCAAAGUUAUUUGUUUUUUUUGAGAGAUAGAUAGCACGCUAUCCGUUGCAUUUAUUUCAUUUAGAAAUAAACUUAGCUAAAAAUGUGAAUCAACUAGAAUUCGAAAUUGUGUCUCGGAUACCAACCACCAAGUCCUUUGCCAUUUGCUCUUGGGACGGUCGGUCCAAAGUUAUUUGUUAAUCUUACAUCAUCUCUAUUUUUUAUUUUUUCUAAUAAAUAGUUCAAAUUUU
rnacentral:lncRNA from 1 species